GCAGAAAGUAAAAAACGAAACGUAUAUUCGUGAAAUAAUUCACUGAUAAAAUGAGAAUCGCUAUUCUUUUAAUUGUGAUUGUAUCUCUCAGCCUGGCGACAGGUAAGAUUGAUAGAAGUGGGGAAGUUGUGGAACAUAGUCGUUUAAGGCGAGCGCUUUUAGGGGAUGCAGCCAGGAUUGAGGUGUUUUCCAAUCAAGGAGAGGCACGAGCCAAAUGACAAAAAGGAUGAUUGUAAUUUAAACGUUGUGUUGCCCAUUCCGGGCAUAUCAGCGUAUUAAUUACUUCCAGAGUGUUUCAUAACUUUAGCUGAUGGAUAAACCCUUAUUAACUGCGUUAUCAAUACAAUCAAGAAAGAACCACACUUAUUCUUUCAUAAACUGCGACAAAAAUAUGAAGAUGGAACGUAGAACAUGAAUGGCCUACCGCUGUUAUAUUAUAAGCAAACUGCUUAAUCAAUUUAUUAGGGGUAUGCCUCCGUGUGGAAAUCACAGAAAAUGUCUUAAGACGAACAUCAAAGCAUAGAACAUUUUCUCCAGACUAACAUCACAGUAUAAAACAUUAUAAUUGAGAAAGCAUCGUCUAUACAAUAUCAAUAUCAAUAAUGUCAGAAUAUUCAAGUCAAGAUUUUGACACAAGUUGUAGAGCUUAAUUCCUACUUUCUUACAGCAUCUUUUUUACAGAUUACUGUUUAAAAAUUGCAUUACAUGAGUCAGUUCUCAAAGUUAUGAUUCAGUCACAUUUUGAAAGUUAAUCGUCGGCGAGUAAAAUGACUACCUGGUACAUAAAGUCUUAACGGACAAGUUCCGGUAGGAUAUAUCGUUGGUGUUAACAUUCUGUAUUGUAUUUUUGUAAUGUAUUGUAUACUGUGUAUUCUAAAUAUAUGUAUUCUUGUAUAUUAAAUAGUUAUUGUCA